GAGUCGAUGCAUGUGCGAAUGAUGAGCUUAGAGUGGAGGACAAUGAAGGCCAGGGCAUCGGCAAAUCAUUUAGAGAUAGCGAGUUGGUGCUUGAUUGACUUGGCUAUGACGGGCUCGUUGAGGACGAGAGAGGGGAAUAUGCAGUUGGAAAAAAGGUAGUGGGUAAAGCGAAGGGGUUAGGAGAGGUCAGUGGAGAGAUCCCCGGAGGCAGAGGGGGAGCAGGAG
rnacentral:lncRNA from 1 species